rnacentral:tRNA from 1 species
GGAAAUGUGGCUCAGAGAUAGAGCUCUCACCUGACAAGUAUGAGACCCUGAGUUAAACCCCAGCACCACCA